CCUACGGGAGGCAGCAGUGAGGAAUAUUGGUCAAUGGACGCAAGUCUGAACCAGCCAUGCCGCGUGCAGGAAGACGGCUCUAUGAGUUGUAAACUGCUUUUGUACGAGGGUAAACGCAGAUACGCGUAUCUGUCUGAAAGUAUCGUACGAAUAAGGAUCGGCUAACUCCGUGCCAGCAGCCGCGGUAAGACGGAGGAUUCAAGCGUUAUCCGGAUUUAUUUGGUUUAAAGGGUGCGUAGGCGGUCGGGUAAGUAAGAGGUGAAAUCCCGAGGCUCAACUUCGGAAUUGCCCUUGAUACUGUUCGGCUAGAGAGUAGUUGCGGUAGGCGGAAUGUAUGGUGUAGCGGUGAAAUGCUUAGAGAUCAUACAGAACACCGAUUGCGAAGGCAGCUUACCAAGCUACUUCUGACGUUGAGGCACGAAAGCGUGGGGAGCAAACAGGAUUAGAUACCCGAGUAGUC
rnacentral:rRNA from 1 species